rnacentral:miRNA from 1 species
UGUGUGUGUGUGUGUAUGUGUAUGCGCGUGUAUGUAUACACACACACACACACACACACACGUGGCAGAACAC